CAUCGGAAAAAUUAAGAGCAAAAUGGGAUUCGAUUAGUCAAUUAAUAAUUUAGUGUAUUUACUUAAAAAAUGGUCAAAAAGUGUCAAUCACUUAUUCUUAGAGCCCAAAAAGGCAAAUUGACCUUAUUAAAAGUGGUUCAAAUAAUUAAUCACACAUGAAAGUAAUUUUCCGUUUAUUGACUAAUCAAUUAAUGACAGAUUGUUUUAAGUCUAAUACAAAUAAUGACAAUAGUAUAAGCAUGCUUUAAAAUAUAACUGGGUAAGUGCUCGCAUUAAAUAAAAUGCCUAAAUAAAACUAUUGUUUAAUAUUUUCCUCGAGGACACCUGACGCCACAGAUAACGUGCCACUGAGGUCAUGACGACGAGGACUGACGUGUUGAGCUGCUCCUAUAAAAGCAGAGGCCACAGUUCUACCUUCCUUCUGCACCUGAGCGCUGACAGACAGACAGACAGACAGACAGCAGCUGAACUCUUGAGAAGUGAAACUCUUCAAGUGCGGAAUUGUUGGACAGUGAAAACUGCGAAUUAAUAAACCAGAGCAGAGCUGUGGAAAUCUACAGGAAACAUCUUUCAAGUGUCAAAAAUGGUCUCCACUAGGUUUCGACGUGAGAAAUACGCGCUGACUGCAUUCAUCUUCAGAUUGCUGGAUGCACGCUAUGUCGACCUGCCGAGGCCGGGACGUGUCCUUGAGAUGGUUCUUACAAACUUGAGGAACCGUCCUCUGAAAAAGAGCAAUGUAGACUCCAUGAGCAAGUCCAUCAUCAGCAUGUACCACGACCUCAUCACAGGUUCAAAGAAGUUCCCUUUGAUUGAAUACAGAGGACUCUUCCGUGGAGAACUGAUUCAGACCUCCUUUGACAGGAUCAAGCAGAACUCUAGGGAGAACACUGUGCCAUCUCCUUUAACGGAUGCACCAGGGAUACUAGCACUUACUGUGGGUUCCCGCUCUCCUACUCCAAAUAUUCUGACUCCCGUUAUUCCUGACAAGUUGGAGCUCGGAACUAUGAAGGCCGACCGCAGAAAUCACGUCUUCAGUUUGCAGCUUAAUCGCAGAACUAUCACCAGAGUCAUCUCCACCGUGUACAGCACUGAGGAAACUGAGGUGUCCAACCUCUGGAGAGUGACGGAUUACAGUAAAGAUGGAAACAUUCUGAUGUCGGCCCAUUGUCAGUUCUUCCAAAUGUAUGAAGACUAUGCACAGACUGUCAGACAGGGGAAGAGGAAACGUACAGAGGAGAGCAGCAGCCAGUCACCACCAAAGAAAUGUUUAAGACUGUGAUGGUCCUUUGCUGUGCUGCAGCUUUUGGUCCUCUGUGGAUUCAGGAUCUGGCAGGUUAACCAGCUGGAUUACUGUGACCCCUGAGAACUGGUCUUUGCGUCUGGCAGGGAUAGCGACAGCCCCUGGUAGCGUCUUGCACCGGGGGCCCAUAUAGACAUACUGCCCCAUAUGAAGAGCAGGGUUGACUGAGGGGUUAUUGUACAUUUGUAAAUAGUUUCUUUCACCAUGGUUGUGGCACACAGGUCAGUGUUUUUGGUGCGUCUUGCACUUUUCUUUAUUUCUUGGUGCUGGCCUGUGUGUCUGACAUGGUGGCAACUGUGAGAGAGCUAUGAGGAUCUCUAGAGAUAGGAGCUCUCUUUAUCCAGGGUUUACCCCACCCACAUUAUAUAAUGAAUAUGACCCAUCACUACCAUCGCAAGCUUCAGAUGUCACAACACUGCUGAUCCACCAAAGGCCGGCAGGUCGACAAGGGAGAACAGGCUAGAACAGCCAGAUAGAGGCCAGUGAAGAUACCAAUCCAUUCUGGGCCUCUCUCCCGGUUAACCAGACCAGCCAGCGGUGGACAGAGAGGAAAACACUUGGGUGUUGUGAAGAAUGCUGUGAUUUUUUUUCAAAGGAAGGCUGAAAUGUCACCAAGAGUGAACAAACAGGUAAUUUGUUCUUUACAAUCAAUCUAAAUGUGUUUCUGGUGUAGUAGCUCUUAUUAAAUCCUACAGUAUGG
rnacentral:lncRNA from 15 species